rnacentral:rRNA from 1 species
AGAGUUUGAUCCUGGCUCAGGACGAACGCUGGCGGCGUGCUUAACACAUGCAAGUCGAGCGAUGAAGCUUCCUUCGGGAAGUGGAUUAGCGGCGGACGGGUGAGUAACACGUGGGUAACCUGCCUCAAAGUGGGGGAUAGCCUUCCGAAAGGAAGAUUAAUACCGCAUAAUAUAAGAGAAUCGCAUGAUUUUUUUAUCAAAGAUUUAUUGCUUUGAGAUGGACCCGCGGCGCAUUAGCUAGUUGGUAAGGUAACGGCUUACCAAGGCAACGAUGCGUAGCCGACCUGAGAGGGUGAUCGGCCACAUUGGAACUGAGACACGGUCCAGACUCCUACGGGAGGCAGCAGUGGGGAAUAUUGCGCAAUGGGGGAAACCCUGACGCAGCAACGCCGCGUGGGUGAUGAAGGUCUUCGGAUUGUAAAGCCCUGUUUUCUAGGACGAUAAUGACGGUACUAGAGGAGGAAGCCACGGCUAACUACGUGCCAGCAGCCGCGGUAAUACGUAGGUGGCGAGCGUUGUCCGGAUUUACUGGGCGUAAAGGGUGCGUACGCGGAUGUUUAAGUGGGAUGUGAAAUCCCCGGGCUUAACCUGGGGGCUGCAUUCCAAACUGGAUAUCUAGAGUGCAGGAGAGGAAAGCGGAAUUCCUAGUGUAGCGGUGAAAUGCGUAGAGAUUAGGAAGAACACCAGUGGCGAAGGCGGCUUUCUGGACUGUAACUGACGCUGAGGCACGAAAGCGUGGGUAGCAAACAGGAUUAGAUACCCUGGUAGUCCACGCCGUAAACGAUGGAUACUAGGUGUAGGGGGUAUCAACUCCCCCUGUGCCGCAGUUAACACAAUAAGUAUCCCGCCUGGGGAGUACGGUCGCAAGAUUAAAACUCAAAGGAAUUGACGGGGGCCCGCACAAGCAGCGGAGCAUGUGGUUUAAUUCGAAGCAACGCGAAGAACCUUACCUGGACUUGACAUCCCUUGCAUAGCCUAGAGAUAGGUGAAGCCCUUCGGGGCAAGGAGACAGGUGGUGCAUGGUUGUCGUCAGCUCGUGUCGUGAGAUGUUAGGUUAAGUCCUGCAACGAGCGCAACCCUUGUUAUUAGUUGCUACCAUUAAGUUGAGCACUCUAAUGAGACUGCCUGGGUAACCAGGAGGAAGGUGGGGAUGACGUCAAAUCAUCAUGCCCCUUAUGUCCAGGGCUACACACGUGCUACAAUGGUAGGUACAAUAAGACGCAAGACCGUGAGGUGGAGCAAAACUUAUAAAACCUAUCUCAGUUCGGAUUGUAGGCUGCAACUCGCCUACAUGAAGCUGGAGUUGCUAGUAAUCGCGAAUCAGAAUGUCGCGGUGAAUACGUUCCCGGGCCUUGUACACACCGCCCGUCACACCAUGAGAGCUGGUAACACCCGAAGUCCGUGAGGUAACCGUAAGGAACCAGCGGCCGAAGGUGGGAUUAGUGAUUGGGGUGAAGUCGUAACAAGGUAGCCGUAGGAGAACCUGCGGCUGGAUCACCUCC